UGGCUCAGAAGGUAAAGCGUCUGCCUGCAAUGCAGGAGACCUGGGUUCGAUCCCUG
rnacentral:tRNA from 1 species